UACGUAGGUGGCAAGCGUUAUCCGGAUUUACUGGGUGUAAAGGGCGUGUAGGCGGAGACGCAAGUCAGAUGUGAAAACCACGGGCUCAACCUGUGGCCUGCAUUUGAAACUGUGUUUCUUGAGUACUGGAGAGGCAGACGGAAUUCCUAGUGUAGCGGUGAAAUGCGUAGAUAUUAGGAGGAACACCAGUGGCGAAGGCGGUCUGCUGGACAGCAACUGACGCUGAGGCGCGAAAGCGUGGGGAGCAAACAGG
rnacentral:rRNA from 1 species